CAGACCUCAUUUAACAUUUGGCAGCAGAGACAAAAGUAUUUCAUCUGGAGAUGCCUGCCUACCUGUGACUUUGCAGGGAAAUGCGUUCCACCCCUCUGUGUAUCUCUACGGCCCUCCUCUGGACCUACACCAACAGCUCAUUGUCCUUCUUGCACAGAGAGCCUCAGAACUGGAUGCAGUACUCCAGAAUCUAUUGCAGCAGCAUUGAGGAGUUCACUGGGAUGAACCACAGCAGGAUUAUAGGAUUUACCAAUGUACAGAGCUUUUGUAA